rnacentral:rRNA from 1 species
AGAGUUUGAUCCUGGCUCAGAUUGAACGCUGGCGGCAGGCCUAACACAUGCAAGUCGAGCGGUAGAGAGAAGCUUGCUUUUCUUGAGAGCGGCGGACGGGUGAGUAAUGCCUAGGAAUCUGCCUGGUAGUGGGGGAUAACGUUCGGAAACGGACGCUAAUACCGCAUACGUCCUACGGGAGAAAGCAGGGGACCUUCGGGCCUUGCGCUAUCAGAUGAGCCUAGGUCGGAUUAGCUAGUUGGUGAGGUAAUGGCUCACCAAGGCGACGAUCCGUAACUGGUCUGAGAGGAUGAUCAGUCACACUGGAACUGAGACACGGUCCAGACUCCUACGGGAGGCAGCAGUGGGGAAUAUUGGACAAUGGGCGAAAGCCUGAUCCAGCCAUGCCGCGUGUGUGAAGAAGGUCUUCGGAUUGUAAAGCACUUUAAGUUGGGAGGAAGGGCAGUAAAUUAAUACUUUGCUGUUUUGACGUUACCGACAGAAUAAGCACCGGCUAACUCUGUGCCAGCAGCCGCGGUAAUACAGAGGGUGCAAGCGUUAAUCGGAAUUACUGGGCGUAAAGCGCGCGUAGGUGGUUUGUUAAGUUGGAUGUGAAAUCCCCGGGCUCAACCUGGGAACUGCAUUCAAAACUGACUGACUAGAGUAUGGUAGAGGGUGGUGGAAUUUCCUGUGUAGCGGUGAAAUGCGUAGAUAUAGGAAGGAACACCAGUGGCGAAGGCGACCACCUGGACUAAUACUGACACUGAGGUGCGAAAGCGUGGGGAGCAAACAGGAUUAGAUACCCUGGUAGUCCACGCCGUAAACGA